rnacentral:rRNA from 1 species
CUUAAAGGAAUUGACGGAAGGGCACCACCAGGAGUGGAGCCUGCGGCUUAAUUUGACUCAACACGGGAAAACUUACCCGGCCCGGACACUGGAAGGAUUGACAGAUUAAGAGCUCUUUCUUGAUUCAGUGGAUGGUGGUGCAUGGCCGUUCUUAGUUGGUGGAGCGAUUUGUCUGGUUAAUUCCGAUAACGAACGAGACUCUAGCCUACUAAAUAGACGAACGAUCACUGGAGUCGUUCGAUCUUCUUAGAGGGACAAGCGGCUUUUAGCCGCACGAGACAGAGCAAUAACAGGUCUGUGAUGCCCUUAGAUGUCCGGGGCCGCACGCGCGCUACACUGAAGGAAUCAGCGUGCGUUUACCCCUGUCCGGCAGGACUGGGUAACCCGAUCAACCUCCUUCGUGAUAGGGAUAGGGGCUUGUAAUUCUUGCCCUUGAACGAGGAAUUCCCAGUAAGCACGAGUCAUAAGCUCGUGUUGAUUACGUCCCUGCCCUUUGUACACACCGCCCGUCGCUACUACCGAUUGAAUGAUUUAGUGAGGUCUUCGGACUGGCGCUCGGAGCGGCCUUACUGGUCGCGCCGGCGUGCCGGAAAGAUGACCGAACUUGAUUAUUUAGAGGAAGUAAAAGUCGUAACAAGGUUUCC